AUGUCGGGGGAGAGAGGCUGAGCUGAAAGAGCACGGGCGCCUGCCUCAGCCUCUGGGGAGCCGGGCCUGCUCGCCUCCCUGUGCGGGGCUAGUCCGAGCCUGGAACUCGGGAGGCCCAGGAGCGAAGUGAAAGCCCCUUCUGGUCCCCCAGGACUCCACUCCCGCAGCAGCCCGGCUCCGUCGGCGUCAGUGGAGCCCCAGGCCUGGGUCCGAGAUGAGCGAGACGCUGCCCCGGCUCGCCGUUGCCCGAGCGCUCCCAAAACCAGGGAACAGGCCCCAGGACAGAAGCCCCUGGAAGUUUCCUGGAGCAGGGCAUCUCCAGGAUCCUGUUAGCUCUGCAAAGGAAUCUGGACUUUAUUCUGAGGGCCUUGGAGAACCCCUGCAAAGUUUUUUAAAAGGUGGACUAAGAGAUUGGCAUUUCACAACAUGACUCUCCGAAUUGAAACACUUUAAUAAGAGAAGAUUGACGAAAUUUAACAUUUGCAAAUUAGUAAUUUCACCCAGGUGACCCGCGAUGAGGGAUAUGGCUACCCUUCACUUUUGUGGGGAGUUUUAAGUGAUACAGAUCUUUUUGCCAAGCAAUUUCUU